rnacentral:rRNA from 1 species
UACGUAGGGGGCAAGCGUUGUCCGGAAUCAUUGGGCGUAAAGAGCGUGUAGGCGGCCAGAUAAGUCCGCUGUGAAAACUCGAGGCUCAACCUCGGGCGUGCGGUGGAUACUGCCGGGCUAGAGGACGGUAGAGGCGAGUGGAAUUCCCGGUGUAGCGGUGAAAUGCGCAGAUAUCGGGAGGAACACCAGUGGCGAAGGCGGCUGCCUGGGCCAGUUCUGACGCUGAGGCGCGAAAGCGUGGGGAGCAAACAGG